rnacentral:rRNA from 1 species
UACGUAGGGGGCAAGCGUUGUCCGGAAUCAUUGGGCGUAAAGAGCGUGUAGGCGGCCCGGUAAGUCCGCUGUGAAAGUCGAGGGCUCAACCCUCGAAUGCCGGCGGAUACUGUCGGGCUAGAGUCCGGAAGAGGCGAGUGGAAUUCCUGGUGUAGCGGUGAAAUGCGCAGAUAUCUGGAGGAACACCGGUGGCGAAGGCGACAUCCUGGACCGGUAUUGACGCUGAGGCGCGAAAGCCAGGGGAGCAAACGGG